CCUACGGGAGGCAGCAGUAGGGAAUAUUGCUCAAUGGGGGAAACCCGGAAGCAGAAACGCCGCGGGGAGGAGGAAGGUUUUAGGAUGGAAAACUCCUUUGGUUAGGGAGGAUUAUGACGGUAUCUAACGAAUAAGCACAGGCUAACUCCGGGCCAGAAGCCGCGGUAAUACGGAGGGGGCAAGCGUUACUCGGAAUCACUGGGCGUAAAGAGUGCGUAGGCGGGGUAAUAAGUCAGAUGUGAAAUCCUGUAGCUUAACUACAGAACUGCAUUUGAAACUGUUACUCUGGAGUGUGGGAGAGGUAGGUGGAAUUCUUGGUUUAGGGGUAAAAUCCGUAGAGAUCAAGAGGAAUACUCAUUGCGAAGGCGACCUGCUGGAACAUUACUGACGCUGAUGCACGAAAGCGUGGGGAGCAAACAGGAUUAGAUACCCGAGUAGUC
rnacentral:rRNA from 1 species